AACCAGCACCUCAAGUGGUCAGGAUGAUUAUUGGGCCUAAAGCAUCCGUAGCCGGCUCUGUAAGUUUUCGGUUAAAUCUGUACGCUCAACGUACAGGCUGCCGGGAAUACUGCAGAACUAGGGAGUGGGAGAGGUAGACGGUACUCGGUAGGAAGUGGUAAAAUGCUUUGAUCUAUUGAUGACCACCUGUGGCGAAGGCGGUCUACCAGAACACGUCCGACGGUGAGGGAUGAAAGCUGGGGGAGCAAACCGG
rnacentral:rRNA from 1 species